UCGCCUGGUUUAUCAAAAACAUCGGUGAAAAUUAUUUUCAGUCAAAUCUGCCCAGUGAAAUUUUAACGGCCGCAGUAUUCUGACUGUGCUAAGGUAGCAUAAUCAUUAGCUUUUUAAUUGAAAGCUCGUAUGAACGAUUCGCCGUGAGAUUAACUCUCUUAGAAAUUCUUACAACUUUCUCAAGAAGUAAAAAAGCUUCUUUCCUUCAAAAGGACGACAAGACCCUAUAAAACUUUACUUUUCAAGAAACAUCAUACAGAGUACACCCGCUUUUUCUUGUUGAGUUUUACUGGGGCGGUGCUUUUUAUUUUAAACAAAUUUUAAUUUAACAACGUGUUUGAUCUUAUUGAACAUUUCUGUAAUUCAGAGUAAGUUACUUUAGGGAUAACAGCGCAAUAUUUUUAUAAAGCCCUUAUUUCCAAAAAUGAUUACGACCUCGAUGUUGAAUUGAAAACCCAAGGUAAAGUAAAAAUUACCCAAGGAAGUCUGUUCGACUUGUAACCUUUUACAUGAUUUGAGUUCCAAACCGGA
rnacentral:rRNA from 1 species